rfam:Echinostoma caproni strain Egypt genome assembly, scaffold: ECPE_scaffold0000928
CACCUCGUAGCUCAGCUGGUAUAGCGUGCGCCUACAAAGCGUAUGCGGUGUCCAUGCGUGGGUUCGAAUCCCACAGAGGCUA